rnacentral:rRNA from 1 species
UACGGAGGGUGCAAGCGUUAUCCGGAUUCACUGGGUUUAAAGGGUGCGUAGGCGGGCAGGUAAGUCCGUGGUGAAAUCUCUGAGCUUAACUCAGAAACUGCCAUGGAUACUAUUUGUCUUGAAUGUUGUGGAGGUAAGCGGAAUAUGUCAUGUAGCGGUGAAAUGCUUAGAUAUGACAUAGAACACCAAUUGCGAAGGCAGCUUACUACACAAAUAUUGACGCUGAGGCACGAAAGCGUGGGGAUCAACCAGG